rnacentral:hammerhead_ribozyme from 1 species
GCACUGCUGAAGAGUCCUAUACUAGGAUGAAACAACUGUCCAGUGU